rnacentral:lncRNA from 1 species
AUGGGGAUUUGGGGAGGGGGAAAUUUGGGAUUUAUGGAUUUGGGGAUUUAUGGGGGGCUGGGAGGACCCCGGGCCCAGCCGAGCCCCCCCCGAGGGGGCCCCACGUGCUCAGGACCCGCCCAGAGGGGGAAAAACUUCCCAAAAAAAAAGUUGGGAACUCCUCAAAAAAAAGAAAAAUUCCAGCUUGGAAGCGGCGGGGUUGGAAGGGUUGGGGUGGGAAAAAGGAAUAUUGGGAUUUUUGGGGAUUUUUGGGGGAUUUUUGGGAUAUUUGGGGUUUUUUGGGGAUUUUGGGGGAUUUUUUUGGGAUUUUUUGGGGGUUUUUUGGGGGAUUUUUGGGGGAUUUUUGGGGAUUUUGGGGUUUUUUUGGGGGUAUUUUUUUGGUUUUUUUUUAUUUUUGGGGUUUUUUUGGGGAUUUUUGGGGGGUUUUUGGGGAUUUUGGGGGUUUUUGGGGUAUUUUUGUGGGUUUUUUUAUUUUUGGGGUUUUUUUUAUUUUUGGGGUUUUUUUGGGGAUUUUUGGGGUUUUUUUGGGGAUUUUGGGGGGUUUGGGGGUAUUUUUGUGGUUUUUUUUAUUUUUGUUUUUUUUUUAUUUUUGGGGUUUUUUGGGGGAUUUUUUGGGAUUUUUGGGGGAUUUUUUGGGAUUUUUUUUGGUUUUUGGAGGGGGAAAUGAUGGAUUUGGGAAGAUUCAGAGUGGAAAAAAAAGGGGGAAAAGCGAAUUUUUUGUUUUUAGUUUUUUUUUCUCCCGUGGUUUUGUUGGAAAAGUUCCCGGCGGAGGAGGGAUUUCUCCUUCCCCCGACCCCGGAAUUCCCAGAAAAUCUCCAAAAAGCGACAAAGAGGAGGAAAACGCGGAUUUUUAACCCAAAAUUUCGCAUUCCCCGGUGUAAAAUCCACAAUUUCCGAUCUCCUCAAGGGGGCGAGGAGGGAGAAAAAUUUAAAAAGGCGACGGGUGAAAUAAAAAAUAUAAAGUGGGAGAACAAUUUAAAAAAAAGGGACGGGAAAAAAAAAUAAAGUAUAGGGCGAGAAAAAUUAAGUAUAGAGGGAGAAAAAUUAAGUAUAGAGGGGAAAAAAAUAAAAUAUAGAGGGGAAAAAAAUUAAGUAUAGAG